UGUGUCCUCGGCGCCUGCAGAGCUCUUGUGACGUCCCCUGGCCCCUGUGUGGUCCGUGCCAUCUGCCCACACAUCCCGUGGUCCCGUCCACCUGAGUGGGCGUUUUCCGGGAUUUCCCUUCGACAGUCUAAGACCUAAGAGCCCCAGGGCCUAAUAAUCCUACAAAAACGCAUCCCAGCGUUAGUCAUUCGGCUCAGUUUCCCUGAGUGUACGUGACGUGUCCUUUCAGCACGCGAGUCCCAGACUUUGCGGGCCAGGUGGGUUGACGUGGGCUUUAGUGUUCCGUCUGCUCUGCUCGGGUGCUGGGGGGUUUCCCCGGGACGUCCGCUUCUACGCUGUUGGUUCCUCCGCUUUCUCUCCUUCCCUUGCACCGCGAUCGACACGUAACUUACACGUCACGCCCUUCGCCCAUCUCACGCGUGCCAUUCAACGGUUUUCAGCGUCUUUACAAAGUCGGGCAGCCAAACCACGAACCUGCUCUACUCUCAGGACGUUUCCUCGCCCCGAAGGGACACCUCACCCCUGUUAGCCGUCCCAGCCCUCACCCCCAGCGACGCCGCAGCUCCGCCCUCCGUGCGGCCGCCCCGCUGCGCCUGAGCAGAUGCCCCGCGCGCCCACCUGCCCCCACCCGUCGAGGCGCGUCUGGGCGCUUGUUGGCCGUGGCGCAGCUGCUCCUGGAGACACCCCAGCGCCCCGCUUUGCCCCUUUCCUCGAUUUUCCGCUUUCUCUCCAAUCCUUUUCAUGCGUUUUUACUUCCUUCUAUGCUUCUCCGAAUGCUUUUGUGUGCCUCCACUUUUGUGGCCCCUCGGCUCUAAUCUUCAUUUCCAAACUAAUGUUCAGUUGAUUUCCAAUUCUGAUUUGCGGUAUUUUUCACAUAUCGUAUGAUUCCCGCGGUCUUCGAGCUCGUUUUGAAGUGUUGCGUCGUGUAUCCGUGUGGUAGCCAACCGCCCAGAGGGCCUGUGCGUCCUCGGCGCCCAGAAUUCCUGCCCCUGUGGGCUGUGGGCUGCCACCUGCUUCAAAUUAGGGUCGAUGUCGCACACGGCGCGCGUGAAGGACGUCGCCCGUGCUGGUUUCUGAGACUAGGUCAUCCGUGGGAUGGCGGCCGCCCCCUUGGUUUCUCGGAGCACUUGUGGGGGCGGGGGGGGGGGGGGGGGCAGCCGUCAUGUGGUGAGGAAGCUCCAGCAGCUCACAUGGAAAGGCCCGCAGAGAGUCACAGAGAGGCCUGCUUGGAGACCCACAUGGAGGGGAGCACUCAGAGGGGAGCUCACAGAGGGGCCCCCGCGGAGGGGCCCACGCGGAGGGGAGCACAUGGGGGGGAGCACCGGAGGGGAGCACACGGAGGGGAGCACUCAGAGGGGAGCUCACAGAGGGGCCCCCGCGGAGGGGCCCACGCAGAGGGGAGCACAUGGGGGGGAGCACCGGAGGGGAGCACACGGAGGGGAGCACUCAGAGGGGAGCACACGGAGGGGCCCACGUGGAGGGGCCCACGCGGAGGGGAGCACAUGGGGGGGAGCACGGAGGGGAGCACUCAGAGGGGCCUACAUGGAGGGGCGCACAGGGUACCGCAUGGGUUUUGUGGGCCUCUCUGCCCGUGGGCCCCCCGUCUCCUGCAGGGACACUAACCCUCUCUCUCCUCCUCGUCCUCUGUUUUCCUUCGAGCGUCUGUGCAGGUUCUGACCAUGAGUCACUCCGCGGCUCAGGCUCCUGUGAAGUCCGUUUCUGGUGCUGCUCCUCCCACACCUGCCCCAGGACUCCUUUAUCUACUCGCGUGGAUCUAACCCGUUGGCUGUAUUUGAUUUGAGGUCUUCAGGCUUAUCUACAUCACAUUCUCGGGUACAUCUGUCCCCGUGACGGUGCCCCACAUGCUGAGCAGGGGACGCGCACCGGCGCCUCUGGCCACUGUGGCCCGAGAAUGUGCAUUCUGGCUCUGGUUCUGUGUCGUGAGCUGCCCGGCCUAGUCGCGUAUCCCCAGAGCCUGAGGGGGACGGGGGACGCCUCCCGGGAGACCAAAUGUAUGUUUGCUCUGCAUCGUGCUUCUGGCUCCCUAACCCCCUGGGGUUUUCCAAGUGAGAAGAGCCAAUAAGGUGUCUUUUGUAUCAUAAUGGGGAGACGCUGGAAAGCCCCUAGGAUGGCACUGGUGGCCAGGGACCCAAGCCUGUGAUCUGAGAGCAGGAACCACCUGGCCUCUGGGAGGGGAGAGGGCCUGGGGGUUGAAUGGAUCACCAAUGGCCAAUGACUUGAUCAAGCCUCCGUAAAAAGCCAAAGAAGGAUGGGGUUGGGGUCAGAGAGCUUCCGGCGGUUGAACUCUUGGAGACUGGGGACAGCCGGGUGCUCAAGGGCUCGAGGGAGCUCCACCCCUCCCCUCCCCUCCCCCUGCCCGGCUCUGCAGCUCUUGGGCUGUUCUGAGUUCUAGCCUUGACGAUGACCAGCUGAUCGACUAAGUAAAGUGUUCCCUGUGAGCUGCCCUAGCCAACCAGGUGGGCCCACGGAGGGAGUCACUGGAACCUCCGAUCUAUAGCCAGCUGCUCAGAGGCACAGGUGACAACCAGGAUGGCCACCGGCAUCCGGAGUUGGGGGAGGGGCAGUCUUGUGGGACCCAGGGGGCUGAGGCCAGUGCCCAGGAGGACAGUGUCAGAACCGAGGAGAGUUGUAGGGCCCCCGCGGGUGGGGGUGUGGGGGAGCUGAUGUGGGAGGCAUAUUCCCCCUGCAAGUGCCCUCAGCAAGCCCCCCGCCCCGCGAGGGCUCCCUAACCACCAAUCGCCCGCCCGGGCGCCAAGGCCGAGGGCGGAGGUGGGCUCCCCAGCAGCCAUCGCCUUGUUCUCAACAGCCCUCGCCCUGGAGGGCCAGACCCCCACCUCCUCCUGGCCCUCCCCACCGCCCCGCAGCUGCCCCGUUCCAGACAACCUCAGGGCCCGGGGUUUCCCCCUGGGGUCCAUCCUUGUCCUCCUUCUGUGGUCCCCCCGGGGGGACGGGGCAAGAGCCCGCAUUAGCCAGGAACCGGGACAGGACAGAGGAGACAGGGCAUGGAGGGGCCCUGGUGGAGAAGACGCUUCCCACCCCGGGAGCUCUGCUCUUCUGCUGAGACGUCUUAGCCUCGGCAGGGUGGGCACCCGUGGCAGGUUAGAGGGGCCCCUAGGAAGCCCGCCGGUAGUGGACGAGGCCGGUCCCUCGUCUCUCAGCAGGGCCUGGGGGCCUGGGGAGGCCGGGACCACCCCCCUGCCACACACACACAGCAAACCUCCACCAGCAGCUCCGCGGGGCCCUGUGAAGCUGGGAGGGACUCUGGGGCGGCAAGGGGCAAAUACGGUCCCCCCUCAAGAAGGUCGAGUUAUUCACUAGCCUCCAUAAUAAAUAAAUGAGAGCCACAGUA